rnacentral:lncRNA from 1 species
CUCUUUGCAGGGUGUUAUGUAGCCAGGAGAAAUGAAUACAAAGAAUCUCAAUGAGAUCAAUAAAUUGUACCAUAAUAGGUAGUAAUAUUUGGAGAAAACCUACAGUUUCAAACAUUCCUCUUUGUUAAAUUUUUUAUCUCGCUAACUUGUGUUUCACUAACCAUUAAUUAUGAUAUUGUUAUCUUAAAACUUUAUUAAAGCAACUUGAAACUUUUGAAAAAGCCAUUGUUCACAUUAAAAAUAGCUUGGCUGAUUCAUCAACUAUAAUCUUGCACUCCAUGCACAGUGCUGGCUGUGUGAAAAAAGUCAGUUUUCCUAUUUCACCUAGACUUGCAGGAUAUUCAUUUAGUGAGAGGACGCUUUUCUCCUCCAGAAUCUCAGUGUUCCUUGAUUGACCACUGAUCAACUUAGCUGGAGUUAUUAAAAAUAUUUUCUUUUAAACACUGAAUUUGGAGGCGUUCCCAUUGUAGCUCAGUGGGUUAAGAACUCGACAUAGUGUCUAUCAAGAUGUGGGUUUGAUCCUGAUCCCUGGCCUCACUCAGUGGGUUAAGGAUCCAGCAUUGCUGUGGCUGUAGUGUGGGCCGGCAGCUGCAGCUCUGAUUCAUCCCCUAGGCUGGGAACUAAAAAAAAAUAAAAAUAAAAACAAAGAAAAAAAACUACUGAACUUGGAAAUUAGAAAUUAGAAAUAACAUUUUAUGUGUUCAAAAUAUUAUUAUCUUCUGAAAAAUAUUUGUCUACUACCCACCGUAUAUGUAAUAUGAUGUCUAAGAGGGUAGAAAAUAAGUGGAUGACAGAAAAUGUGUUCAUACUUUUACCAUUUCCCAAAAGAACUUGAAGUUGUUUACGAUAAAAACAUCGUCCCAUUACGAUCAAAGGCCAUUGGCAUGAGACAACAUUACAAGUGAGCAAAUCUCAUAGGGGUGGUAAGGGGAGCAGUUUGUGCAGAGAUUUCGAGUUGGGGCGGACUUUGCCGCGGAGCUCUCUGCCCCAGGCUCCCAGCAGCCGCGCAGAGAGCUAAGAGCGGCAGCUUAAGUGCAAAGGCAGGGCGCCCUCCUCCCGGGGGAGGCAGGCCCCGGGCCACCGCCUUCACCAGACCCAGACUGCAGGCCAUGGAGACAGGGCCCAGGACAUGAACUCAGAGGAGGGGAGAACUAGCUAAGCAGACCUUCUAGGAAAACGGUUUAUUCGGGUGAGGGCCUGGGGACAGAAACAGGCACUUCCUGAAAUUCUAGAUGGGCCAGCUUGGCCCGAAAGGAGGUGAGUGGCCAAGUGAAAGGAAGGGCUGAAAAGGCGAUUUCAGUACAAGCGUCAGUGACUUUGAGUCCAGCCUCAGCAGCUUGAACUGUAGUUUCUGGGCCAUUCCCUGCUGGCUUUUUAUUUUUUUCCCUUUAACCAGGAAAACAUGUUAAAUGAAGACAGUGUCUUAAAAAGAUUAAUCUAGUAGCAGUUCCAAGAUGUAGGAAAGGCACUUGGGCCGAAAGCCCAGCUCCAGUCCGGCGGAGAGAAGGGGGUGAGCGGUGAGGGGCAUUGCAGAGGAGAGGCGUGCUCCCCGGAUGGUCACGGACACGAGGAGCCGGCAAGAGGAGGGCCAACAGCAGGCUGCGCUUCCGCCAGACAAGAGAAAAGGGAGUCCUUUUUUGAGGAAGGGAAAGGAUUUUGACCGGCAGCGUUCUUCACCUAUUCCGAGCUCUCACACCCCACACUACAUAGUCCGGUUCAAGUCACUUCGGGUAUUUGCCUACAGAGUCGCCGGAAGGGAUGUCAGUGGAGAGUCAGCCGCUGGUUCCAGAGCCAGCCUGUCCUCUCUCUGCUGGUCUGUCCGGAUUUAACGCUGUCGAAACAGAGGGUCAGGAGGGAGUACUUCCAGCUCACCUCUCCUGAACCACCUGCCCUGCCAAGUCUGAGGCCAGAAGUGUGGACGUGGAACUCCUUGGCCUCCCCCUCGGGGCGGGUGCUGGACGCGCCCUGGGCCCAGGAGGAGCCGCUAGGAAGGCUUCUCGGCCAAGCCUCUGACAACGGCCGCCAACGAAUUCCAUCACGUUGCAUGGAGUGAAUUUAUUUAUCUUCUGUGGAAAACAAUCAAGUCAGACUUUUGGAGGGAGGUAUUUUUGUGCUGUCAGCUGACUUGGGGAUUUCCUCCCCAAGCGGCACAAGUCCUUCUUUUCGUGGCGUCCCCUGCUCCCCACCAGCACCCCACGACAGAUGACAGAGUUGAUCCCAGUCUGCCCGCAGCACUGUACCUGCUGGUAGGGCCUGUAGGAACCAAGCAGGUCAGCCUUGUUUCCUACAAAUAUUAAAACUCCAACCUGCGGCAUCAUUUUCUAUUUGUUAGGUUUGUCUAUUAAGCAAGGGAGCCAGAUGCAGUGUGGGACCUGCCUGCUCCAGCCAGAAACGCAUGUGUGCUUGCUGGUCAAUGGAGACGGCACAGUUGACUGCUCCUGCAGUGGGAGGGGCUCUGGGCAUGCGUGCUGGCCCCAAGGGCCAUGGGGAGAAACACUGAGUGGGGGUCAGGCAUGUGGUCUGUGGGGGCUGUACGGAGAUGCUCCUGCAGAGGCCAGAGCAGCAGCUGGGAGCUCAGGGGCCUGGUCUGUGAAGUGGGUAAGAGAUAGAGAGGGUCAAAGGCCAGUGAAGGAGUCGCCUGGCUUCCUAAACUAGGGCUGUUGAACUGGACUCUGAAAGCUGCAAGUUAUCACAAAAGCGAGAGCGAGCAGCAGGUUGGGGGUGGAUUGGAUGGGAUGGGGCCAAGGCCCAGCGGAGGCGCCGACACCGAGGGCGUGUAAGCCCAGGGCUGCAGAGGAUAAAGCGACCCUUUCAGCUGGCCUCUCCUUUUCUCGAUGGACAGGCAGAUUCUAGGACUCUGGGUGCAGAACAUGCGGCUCGCUGCUACGUGAGCCGGCUAUACUGGCAUUUUAGUCCUGUUGGCAGAUAAUCCUUGGGGUGAAAUCACUUGUUUCGAAAGUCUGCAGUGUGCUAAAACUGGGGCCGAUUUGCUGACAGGAGUUAUUUACUUCCUUAGCUGAGUAUAUUUAAUGUCCACAUUGCCAGUAGUACGUCAAAGAAUAUUAGCAAGCAAUGAUGUCUUUUACUUCACAUGAAAGAAAAUUGCGGCCUGUCAUUUUAAUACACAGCCUUCAUCAUUUUAAAUGGAGAGAAGAAUGCUUUCAACUCAACUGGUUUUAAAGGGUACUUUCCACGUUGACCCAUGCAAAGGCCGUAGAAUCAAUCAGUUGACCUAAGCGGUGGCUUUAUGCCGUGAUUGCCCUAGGCAAAUACAUGUGAAAGGCAUCUCUGUUUUGCCAGGAAAUUUGCGUACCUGUGUUUAUGUAGACUUGUACAGAAUAGUAAGUUCCCAACAACAAACAACAGCAUAAUCAAUGAGAAGUAACGAGAGAUGAAUGCUUCCUGGGGAAGAGCUGGGAAGGGAAUCCGGAGUGAUGGAAUGAUUCAGCAACACAACUACCAGCAAGGGAGAAAAGAAAACAAAGGCAGUGAAAAUGAGGCCGUCGGAAUUUGGCUGUGCACCGAGGGGGCCUCUGCCUCCCUGAAAGGCUUCACGAAUGGCUUUCAACAUAUGGAUCCUUUUCUUUAUAUUGUGUCCUUCCUCCUCGCUCCGUCCUGCAGAAAGUCUCAGUCCUCAGCAUCCUGAUGCACUGGACUUAGUGGCAGGAAAAACAUGAAUGUAGCUUGACAGACACACAUGAAAACCGGCCAAGGCACACCCGCCUCCAAGAACAGUCAGCCUCCGGCCAAACUGGAAAUGUGACCAUCACCGGCGUCCGCUGCCGAAAGAAACCAUCUGCCAGCAGUGCAAUUGCUUUGGUAUCUUCAGCUUUAAUUUGAAUUUCUAAGAGGACUUUGGGGAGUCAAAGCAUAAUCUUUUUAAAUGUUUAAAAGCUCUAAAUAACUGGAGGUUGACGUUGAAUUUGCCCUUUUCUCCUUCCAAUCUACAGUCAACAUUUCCAUGAUCACAGGACACACUUGACCUCGUGCCACCCUGGUCCCCCGUCUCCCUCAAGCCUUGACCCCAAGUCCCCCCCCCAACCCCCCUUCUGCUGUUAUCACUGCUUUCCUGCCAAGAGAGCAGGUUGUAAUCCAGGCCCGCCGCGCUGCGGGCAGGGCAGAAAGGCAGCGGGUGGGAGUGCAGUAAGGAGCGAAGCGUGGAACAAGAGUGUGUACUUGGGACUUCACACUACUUUGUGCAAAGGGAGAGGCUUGGGUAGAGACAGACAGUGAUUGUCUUUGUUUAUCAAGUGAAGAUCCCAGCCAGUGAAUCAACUUCCUGCACCAUCAACACACAUGCUACUGGUAUCAAAGAAGGAUAACAGCAGGCCUAAAAACAAAUGUGUAUUUAACUUAUGAAUAUUAUGGAAUUUUUAGAGAGAAGCAAAUGCACACAUUAAAAAAAAUUAAUAGUCAACUGAAGGACUGUCUUUCCAGUUCCUCAUCUCAAGCUUUCUUUUACAUUUGGACAGGGUCAUGACUUCGGGGGUGAGUCUGCGCAGGGCCUGAGGAACUCUAGGCAUAGAAAGCCUAGGAAGCUGCGGGGCGUGUUGGAAAACGGGCCUCCCAAUGGGAGAGACCGUCCACGUGGGUGCACUUAUUAAGUGCAAAGAAAUGAGAUCAGAAGGGGACAGUUUAAGCCUGUCGAUGACAAGGAUUCCUAUUGUUUUAUAGUCAACAUGCCUUUUAAAUUUACUGAAUAAAACCCCAUAUCUAAAGCAGUUGGUUCUGAUUCUGAGGUGCAUUUGCCAUCAGUGUAUGACCGUGGCCCUGCAGGCUGUGUGCACAGUGUUUAAGGGAAGGCCCUGGCGGCAGGGAAGCCCACUAAGAAGAAUCCCCACUGAGUCUCAGGAAGGUCCUGGGAGCUGAGGCAGCCACAUGUCAUGUCCACCAAGUCGCCAAAGAAACAUCAGUGAACAGCAGUGUCUGAACUGUGUUGAGAAGCACUGAGAACAAGUAUUUCUUGGGAGGGAGGUGAGUUUCUACAUGGGAAAUGAGCCAUGGGGUCAGUGAAGAUGUCAUACUCCAGGAAGACCUGAGGCAGUCUGGGCAGUGUGGAACAGNNNNNNNNNNNNNNNNNNNNNNNNCACUCUUUCACCUACAGAAGGGCAGGGUCCUUGCACACAGAUGACCCAUGAGUGUAAAGUGACACCCAGAUCCCAGGUAGGAGUCCCUUAUCAUUUGUGGAUUGGCCGUUUUGUACAACCAAGAUUAGAAACUCAUCUUACACAGGAAAACACAACAUUGACUGCUCCUGACUCCAGUAGACAUGGAGGUACGUCUGUGAGGUUGUUUGGAAAAUUGCCUGUUUAGUUAAUUAAGAAGAAAACAGAAAGAGCAAAAGAGAGAGAAGGAAAGAAAGAAGAAAGAAAGAAAGAAGGGAGGAAGGAAGGAAAGAAAGAGAGAGAGAGACAGAAAAGAAAGAGAAAGAGAGAAA